rnacentral:rRNA from 1 species
UACGGAGGAUGCGAGCGUUAUCCGGAUUUAUUGGGUUUAAAGGGUGCGUAGGCGGCUUUUUAAGUCAGCGGUGAAAUUUUGCAGCUCAACUGUAAAAGUGCCUUCGAAACUGGUUUCCUUGAGUGUGGAUGAAGUAGGCGGAAUUUGUGGUGUAGCGGUGAAAUGCAUAGAUAUCACGAGGAACUCCGAUUGCGCAGGCAGCUUACUAGGCCAUAACUGACGCUCAGGCACGAAGGCGUGGGGAUCAAACAGGAUUAGAUACCCU